GACGAACGCUGGCGGCGUGCUUAACACAUGCAAGUCGAACGGAAAGGCCCUGCUUUUGUGGGGUGCUCGAGUGGCGAACGGGUGAGUAACACGUGAGUAACCUGCCCUUGACUUUGGGAUAACUUCAGGAAACUGGGGCUAAUACCGGAUAGGAGCUCCUGCUGCAUGGUGGGGGUUGGAAAGUUUCGGCGGUUGGGGUUGGACUCGCGGCUUAUCAGCUUGUUGGUGGGGUAGUGGCUUACCAAGGCAUUGACGGGUAGCCGGCCUGAGAGGGUGACCGGCCACAUUGGGACUGCGAUACGGCCCAGACUCCUACGUGAGGCAGCAGUGGGGAAUAUGGCACAGUGGGCGGAAGCCUGAUGCAGCAGCGCCGCGUGCGGGAUGACGGCCUUCGGGUUGUAAACCGCUUUCGCCUGUGACGAAGCGUGAGUGACGGUAAUGGGUAAAGAAGCACCGGCUAACUACGUG
rnacentral:rRNA from 1 species